AGACCCGGGCCCGGGCAUGGGCAGAGUUGGCGUAGUAAGGGUUGCCCUGGGAAUCCAGGUGGUUGAAGAAGACGUCGACUUCGUCCGGAGUCACCCCCGCGCUUCGGGCCGUGCGUGCCCAGGAGCUGCCCCGCACGGCGGGAGUGCCGCGGCCGCAGCGGGGCUCAGCUCCGAGUCUUCCCGAAAAGCGCCUCGGGACUCAUCCGCUUUUGGGGCAGGAAAGGAAAACAAAACAGAACAAAACCAACACAAGACCAAAACCGACGCAGGGAAAGUCGCAGCCAGACGCCCGCCGCGCUAUCGGAGCUGCCGCAGGUCCCGAUGCACAGACGCUGCCUUCCCGUUCCUCAAACCUCUGCUUUCGGAGGAAAAGGGAAACGAGCGCUGAAGUCUCCGAGCGAGGAAAUCGUGGAGCAAAGCCCGCCGGGCAACGGCAGCGGCUCCGACCCGACGGCGCGGCCGACCCGGGGUGCCUGGAGGAGGCAGCGAGGGGAGCACGGCUCGAACCCCCCCGGGCAGCACUGGGAGCCGCGACCCCCCCCGGCCCGACCGCCCCAGUCACUACGACGCCGGGGCUCUGACGUCACCGCCACUGCCAAAUUCGCCAGGAAAUGAACUUUCUUUUAAAAAAUAAUAACAAUAAUAAUAAUAAUAACGACGGUAAUAAUAAUAAAAACCUCCCUUUCCUCUCUGCGCUGCUCGAGCGAAGCGGGGCUCCCUCGCUCCUGCCCGCUCCCCACCCGCUGUCCCCUACGAGAGGCCCCGGGAGGGGCUGUGGAGCACCCCCAUCCCCGCAGCCCUUCCUCUGCCUCCUCCCGUACCCAAACCGGGCUCGGGGGGCCCCGGGCCGGGCAGGACGGGAGCGGCCCACUGGAUGGGAGGCGGUAGAGGCUGGAGAGGGCAAAGUGCCCCCGUGCCCGGGGCGCCUGGGGCCGGAGCUGCCAGGGAGGAGGAAAGGGAAACAAAGCGAGGGGAAAAUACAGAAGAAAAAAAAAAAAAAAAAAAAGAAAAAAGAAGAAGGAAAAAAAAAAAAAAAAAAAAAAAGGAAA